CCAAAACUCAGACUCUAAGAAUCAUAACUCGAGGCCGAGGGACCUUCAGAAUUAGGCCACGCUUCUGCAGGCGCUGAAAUUCUUUGUACCCAUGUUGAAUAGGAGUGGUGAGAAGGAACAUCUUCGCCUUGUUCCCGAUCUUAGAGGAAAAGCAUUCAAUCUUUUACCAAAGAAGGAGGAGGAGGAGAAAAAGAAGAAAGAAAAGAAAUAAUCAACAAGGAGGGGGCAAGACGGGGCUUCUGGAGUCCUGGUGAUGUUCUGUUUCUUGAUCUGGGUGUUGGUUACAAGGUAUGUUCACUUUGUGAAAAACUAAUCAAACCAUUCAUUUAUGCUUUAUGCACAUUUCUAUAUGAAUGUUAUAUCCCAGUAACAAAAUUUACUAAAAAGAAGAAAAAAUCAGCCAAGGUAGGGACACCAUUUCUUUCCAAGUAAUAAAAAGUUAUUACUUUCCUGUUUAUUAUUUUGUAUAAUCACAUUGCCCUGCCAAUUUAGUUUCAUGACGUUAGGUGUUCAGGUUUUGUGUGUCUUAAUACAGAAAGGAUUAUAAAAAGAUACAUUUAGCUACUCACACAAGUGCUAUAAGAAUGUCAGCGGAAGCAAUUAUUCAUUGCAAUUAUCAACAUGGACAAUAUUCAACUUGCAACCAAAAUAAAUAGAUGUUUUAAGAGACCUUGGUGGAACAAUCAAAUCAUCAGUCUCAAAAAGUAACCCCAUCUCUCAGCCCAGUUCUGCAACUGCCUGCCAGAGUUUCAAUUCUAUAUUUAUCUCUUCAAAUCAGCAGUAUAGCAAUUAGUUAUUAUAAUAAGAGUUACCAAUUUAUUGUGUGCCGACUUUAUGCCAGGCCCUGCAUUAUCAGAGUUUUUCAUACUUUAAUUGCCUCACUUCAUUUUCACAACAACCCUGCCACAGAGUUGUUUUAUUCUACUUUAUAGUAGAGGAAACUGAGGCAGAGGGGUCCAGGCCCACAUUGCUGGUGAGUGACAGAGCCAGAGAGCCAGCUGGAGUCCCACCCAGUGUGCUUUGCUCUGUCUGGGACCUGACGUCAGUAACAGGAAAUAAG
rnacentral:lncRNA from 1 species